CAGUGUUUACCAACUUGUCGUCAUAAACCACAUUUUUGUUACUUCAGUUCCAAUUUCAGAAAGAUAUAUAAAUGAUUCGAAAAGUUUUCUCGGUAUCAGAUUAACUUCUUCAAGCUCACACAUAGUACAUCUUGAAACAUACAAGUUUUAACAUGAACACCUUAGUAAUCAUUGCCGCCUUAUCGGUGUUGUGCUGUGUUUACGCGCAAUCAUACGGUAGCUUCGACAACGACAGAUUUGGUCGCUUUUCUGGUUCGGGACGCCAUUUUGAAUCAGGGCGCCGUUUUGGACCAGGACGCCAUUUCGAUUCAGAUAGUCAUUUUAGAUCAGGACGCGAAUUUGAUUCAGGUCGCCGUUUUGGAUCAGGACGCCAUUUUGAAUCAGGACACCGUUCUGGAUCUGGACAUUUUACACGAGGAGAUGGUUUAUUUAGAGGAAUUGGUGAUCGAGAUUAUAGACCAAGGGGUUCAAGCUAUAUUCCAAGAAGAUCAAUAAUUCGUGAUUCUUACUAGAUGUCUAAAGUUUCAGAUAAAAGAUGACCCCUAACUUAAAUCAAGUGAUGGUGCCAAAUUUAUUUGAAGUCUUUCAUUUCAUUAUUAUUUAUACAUUACAUUAUCACAUUCACAAAUAAACUUUAUGAUAAAGGUUA